rnacentral:rRNA from 1 species
UACGUAGGCAGCAAACGUUGUUCGGAGUUACUGGGCGUAAAGGGUGUGUAGGCGGUUGUUUAAGUUUGGGGUGAAAUCUCCCGGCUCAACUGGGAGGGUGCGCCGAAUACUGAAUGACUAGAGUGCGGGAGAGGAAAGUGGAAUUCCUGGUGUAGCGGUGAAAUGCGUAGAUAUCAGGAGGAACACCGGUGGUGUAGACGGCUUUCUGGACCGUAACUGACGCUGAGACACGAAAGCGUGGGUAGCAAACAGG